rnacentral:misc_RNA from 1 species
GUAUUGUAUUGCGUUAAACGCGGCAUACAUUCCAUAAGACUUUGUUACAGUGUGUGUGUGUAAAGACGUAGGACCACAGCAAGAGGGCGGAGACCCCCAGGCCACAGAACUACAGAGGGUGCACAGGUGUGAGUGGAUGUGUGAACAGAGCGUGCACAUGCCCCCGGUUCGGGGACCAGCAACAACUCGUGUCGACAAUUCAUUAAUGAUCCUUCCGCAGGUUCACCUACGGAAA